rnacentral:rRNA from 1 species
UACGUAGGGGCCUAGCGUUGUCCGGAUUUAUUGGGCGUAAAGAGCUCGUAGGCGGCACGGUCAGUCAGGUGUGAAAUCUCCACGCUCAACGUGGAGAGGUCAUUUGAUACUGCCGAGCUUGAGUACAGAUGAGGUAGGCGGAAUUGACGGUGUAGCGGUGAAAUGCUUAGAUAUCGUCAAGAACACCGAUAGCGAAGGCAGCUUACUAGGCUGUAACUGACGCUGAGGCACGAAAGUGUGGGGAGCAAACAGG